rnacentral:misc_RNA from 1 species
AAGUCGUAACAAGGUCUCCGUAGGUGAACCUGCGGAGGGAUCAUUACUGAAUGGCCUUUCUCGGCCUUCAACCUUACAAACCCGUGGAAGCGAGACGUGCUUCGGCGCUCCGGCGUCGCUUUUAUGCAAGGGAUCAGCCUUUCGUGUCUGAAUCAAACAUGAGAAUAAAACUUUCAACAAAGGAUCUCUUGGCUCUC